rnacentral:rRNA from 1 species
AUUGAACGCUGGCGGAAUGCUUUACACAUGCAAGUCGAACGGUAGAGGGGGCAACCCCUCGAGAGUGGCGAACGGGUGAGUAAUAUGUCGGAACGUGCCCAGUCGUGGGGGAUAACGUAGCGAAAGUUACGCUAAUACCGCAUACGAUCUAAGGAUGAAAGCGGGGGAUCGCAAGACCUCGCGCGAUUGGAGCGGCCGAUAUCAGAUUAGGUAGUUGGUGGGGUAAAGGCUCACCAAGCCAACGAUCUGUAGCUGGUCUGAGAGGACGACCAGCCACACUGGAACUGAGACACGGUCCAGACUCCUACGGGAGGCAGCAGUAGGGAAUUUUGGACAAUGGACGCAAGUCUGAUCCAGCCAUUCCGCGUGCAGGAUGAAGGCCCUCGGGUUGUAAACUGCUUUUGUACGGAACGAAAAGGUCUCUCUUAAUACGGGGGGCUCAUGACGGUACCGUAAGAAUAAGCACCGGCUAACUACGUGCCAGCCGCCGCGGUAA